rnacentral:tRNA from 1 species
UGACGAGUGGUGUAAUCGGCAACAUACCUCGCUUUGACCGAGGCAUUCCUGGUUCGAGUCCAGGCUCGUCAG